rnacentral:rRNA from 1 species
GAUGAACGCUGGCGGCGUGCCUAAUACAUGCAAGUCGAGCGAACAGACGAGGAGCUUGCUCCUCUGACGUUAGCGGCGGACGGGUGAGUAACACGUGGAUAACCUACCUAUAAGACUGGGAUAACUUCGGGAAACCGGAGCUAAUACCGGAUAAUAUAUUGAACCGCAUGGUUCAAUAGUGAAAGACGGUUUUGCUGUCACUUAUAGAUGGAUCCGCGCCGCAUUAGCUAGUUGGUAAGGUAACGGCUUACCAAGGCAACGAUGCGUAGCCGACCUGAGAGGGGGAUCGGCCACACUGGAACUUAGCCACGGUCCAGACUCCUACGGGAGGCAGCAGUAGGGAAUCGUCCGAAAGGGGCGAAAGCCUGACGCAGCAACGCCGCGUGAGUGAUGAAGGUCUUCGGAUCUUAAAACUCUGUUAUUAGGGAAGAACAAAAGUGUAAGUAACUAGGCACGUCUUGACGGUACCUAAUCAGAAAGCCACGGCUAACUACGUG